rnacentral:rRNA from 1 species
UACAGAGGUCUCAAGCGUUGUUCGGAUUCAUUGGGCGUAAAGGGUGCGUAGGCGGCGCGGUAAGUCGGGUGUGAAAUCUCGGAGCUUAACUCCGAAACUGCAUUCGAUACUGCCGUGCUUGAGGACUGGAGAGGAGACUGGAAUUUACGGUGUAGCGGUGAAAUGCGUAGAUAUCGUAAGGAAGACCAGUGGCGAAGGCGGGUCUCUGGACAGGUACUGACGCUGAGACGCGAAAGCGUGGGUAGCAAACAGG